AGGUAAUUUUAAAGAGGACUUGGGCUGUGAAUCACAAUUUCUUAAUACUAUGACCAAAGAUUGAAUUUCUCCACAGGAUUCCACAGUCAUUCAACAGUGCUAUGUUUUCCUAAGGAGGUACGAGA
ensembl:snoRNA